AUUGAACGCUGGCGGCAGGCCUAACACAUGCAAGUCGAACGAUUGGCGGACGGGUGAGUAAUGUCUGGGAAACUGCCUGAUGGAGGGGGAUAACUACUGGAAACGGUAGCUAAUACCGCAUACCAUCGGAUGUGCCCCGAUGGGAUUAGCUAGUAGGUGGGGUAAAGGCUCACCUAGGGGACGGUCCCUGGCUGGUCUGAGAGGAUGACCAGGCAGAAUGGAACUGAGACACGGGCCAGACGCCUACGGGAGGCGGCAGUGGGGAAUAGUGCACAAUGGGGGCAAGCCUGAUGGAGCCAUGCCGCGUGUAUGAAGAAGGCCUUCGGGUUGUAGAGUACUUUCAGCGGGGAGGCGUUACCCGCAGAAGAAGCACCGGCUAACUCCGUGCCAGCAGCCGCGGUAAUAC
rnacentral:rRNA from 1 species